rnacentral:lncRNA from 1 species
UGAUCUUCAGCUUCUCCGAUUUUACCCUAAGGCCCUCAAUAGCCUCAGUCUCUUCUAUCUCUUGCUUGAAACCCUCAGUGGUUUCGACCAUCUUGGUGUUUUUGUUACAACCUUCAAAUUCUUCGACCAUGUUGAUAAUGGUCGGUUCAGUAUAAUGAGCAUCUACCACCUAGAGGGGGUCUGAGUCGAUCUUAAUCUUGGACUUCUUGUCCCCAAAUCUCAGUCUUCUA